UAUGUGUAGGUCGAAAAAUACACCACCUUAUUUUCAAUAUCAAUGAAUACAUUUUGGUUUAUUUCAGGUACACAGUAUCGUCUUAUCGCAUUCUACACUUUCUGGCACUGUUUUCAAAAUAUUCUGAAACAAUCGUAUUUUCAGCAUUUUCACACAUUUACGUGUGCUGUUGCUCUUCUUCUGUCCCCGACUCAAACUGAUGAGCGAUUGCAUACUGCAAGAGAGUUGAUUCGGUGGUAUGUACAGGAGGGCCCGAAGCUUUAUGGUGACGAAUGGCUUAGUUACACCAACCACCAACUCCUACAUUUAGUGGAUGACGUUGAAAGGU